AGACAACGUUGAUGUUGGUGAAGAUAAGCACAGCAUUGCCCAACAUGUUGAAUGCAUGGACAGAUCGAGUCAAGGAAACUCUUUACGUUUGUCAACAUACAAUAAAAAGAAAUGAACAGCGCCUGUCACAUUGACACUGACAAAUGCGUUAUGACAAAUCUGUGGAAAAUUUCUCCUCACCUUGUGGAAAAGGCUCUGAAUGCUGAGCUUAAGCAAGUUUUGCAGCUGACUUUGAAUUCAUGUGAGACUGACAUGGAGAGAAAUGGUUAGUGCUGCCAUCCUUCUCAUGCCAUUGCUUUUUUAAAGAAAAGUAGCCAGCACUGUCAUUGAUCAGGUAACUUACAUACAUAAAGAAUGUGGACAAAAUGACAUAAUCAC